UCGAGAAUUUUUCUCAAUGGGCGAAAGCCUGAAGGAGCGACGCCGCGUGGAGGAUGAAGGUCUUCGGAUUGUAAACUCCUGUCAUUGGCGAACAAUACCUGCGGUUAACUGCCGUUGGGUUUGCUUGUAGCCAAAGAGGAAGAGACGGCUAACUCUGUGCCAGCAGCCGCGGUAAUACAGAGGUCUCAAGCGUUGUUCGGAUUUAUUGGGCGUAAAGGGUGCGUAGGCGGCAGGGUAAGUUAGAUGUGAAAUGCCAAGGCUUAACCUCGGCACUGCAUUUGAUACUGCCCUGCUUGAGCGCUAGCGAGGGGACUGGAAUUUACGGUGUAGCAGUGAAAUGCGUAGAUAUCGUAAGGAAGACCAGUGGCGAAAGCGAGUCCCUAGAUAGCUGCUGACGCUGAGGCACGAAAGCUAGGGGAGCAAACGGGAUUAGAUACCCCCGUAGUCC
rnacentral:rRNA from 1 species